rnacentral:tRNA from 1 species
GUCCCCGUAGCUCAGUAGGAUAGAGCGGCUGGUUCCUAACCAGCAGGUCGCAGGUUCGACUCCUGCCGGGGAUACCA